UUUGCCCAAGGCGAACCGGUAGCACAGAGAGCUUGCUCUCGGGUGACGAGUGGCGGACGGGUGAAAACUGGGAAACUGCCUGAUGGAGGGGGAUAACUACUGGAAACGUAGCUAAUACCGCAUAAGUCCAAGACCAAGAGGGGGACCUUCGGGCCUCUUGCCAUCAGAUGUGCCCAGAUGGGAUUAGCUAGUAGGUGGGGUAACGGCUCACCUAGGCGACGAUCCCUAGCUGGUCUGAGAGGAUGACCAGCCACACUGGAACUGAGACACGGUCCAGACUCCUACGGGAGGCAGCAGUGGGGAAUAUUGCACAAUGGGCGCAAGCCUGAUGCCCAUGCCGCGGUAUGAAAAGGCCUUCGGGUUGUAAAGUACUUUCAGCGGGGAGGAAGGGUUGUGGUUAAUAACCCAGCAAUUGACGUUACCCGCAGAAGAAGCACCGGCUAACUCCGUGCCAGCAGCCGCGGUAAUACAGGGUGCAAGCGUUAAUCGGAAUUACUGGGCGUAAAGCGCACGCAGGCGGUCUGUCAAGUCGAUGGAAAUCCCCGGGCUCCCCUGGAACUGCCUUCAAACUGGCAGGCUGGAGUCUUGUAAGCGGGGUAAAUUCCCCGGCGUAGCGGUGAAAUGCGCAGAUCUGGAGGAAUACCGGUG
rnacentral:rRNA from 1 species